UACAGAGGUCUCAAGCGUUGUCCGGAUUUAUUGGGCGUAAAGAGCGUGUAGGCGGCUGGGUAGGUCUGCUGUGAAAACUCGAGGCUCAACCUCGAGACGUCGGCGGAAACCCUCCAGCUAGAGUCCGGAAGAGGAGAGUGGAAUUCCUGGUGUAGCGGUGAAAUGCGCAGAUAUCAGGAAGAACACCCGUGGCGAAAGCGGCUCUCUGGGACGGUACUGACGCUGAGUGCGCGAAAGCCAGGGGAGCAAACGGG
rnacentral:rRNA from 1 species